GUGGGAAGCGAGGCUCCUCUGCAGUUAUUUCCACAGCUCGCCGGCUGGGCUCUCAGAGCGCGAGCUGGUGACCCAAAAGAAGGGUGUUGCCCUCUCCUCACAACACUGAUCCUGCACGCUGCCUCCUGCUGCUGCUGCCGCCGCUUCAUGCAAAUCACACCCCUGGCUGAGAGCGAGCAAGCAAGCAGAUUGCUGUCUUGGGAGCAUCUGGCUGUGGAUUUAGUCGGGGAAGGAGGUUGUUGCUGCUGCUGCUCCUGCGCGCCUGAGCUGCUCGGCAAGAAAGGUUCUUGUUCUUCAGUUAAACUUAGACCUUUACAGAAGCUAAACAUUAAGAAAGGACUGAGUUAACAAGAUCUUGAUGUACAAGAACAAAAAUAUUAAAAUCUCCUACAUCUGAAAAACAAGAAGAGUCGUCUGACCGGCUGUGUACAACUGGAAACUACACCUGCAUGAAAGCUUCCUCGGCUCAUCCCUUCCAAAUCCCCUCCUGGUUCUUGGAAACAGUGGUUCAAGAGAAGGUGAGGAAGCACCUGGUCCUUCACUUGCCUGACUUGCCUCUUCUUCUUCCUCCUCCUCUUCUCACCAAUCCUGUGCUCCACGCUCAAGCUCUGAAGCUACCUACCCUCUGACUCUUGUAUCCUGGCCAGUCCAGUUCCUCACAAAUCUGACCCCCUCUCCCGAGUCAGACUCCAGCCUCCCUCCCCCUAGUGUGCACACUCAUUAGCAUCCUGACAGUCCCUGACAGCUGGUAUGGAAGAGGGAGAGAGAAUGAGAAUGAAUGAAUAUGAAUUGGUAUUGUGACAGGCGUAUUGUAAGAGAGUAUCGUUUUUCUCUUCUAGGGUUAUUGAGGAAUUGCUUUUCAGCUCAUUAGUUAGGCACUUUCUUGUACAUUUGUCAACACACACACCCUUCUCGUUUCUUAAUUCUCUGUCAAUUGCUUUCUGCAGCGUAUCUAGAAAUAACACAGAGAGAGAAAGAAUGCAGAGGGGUGGUGUUUAGCUGAAUCACUCUCUGGGUUUUCAGUGAUGGAAAUAACAUCUAGACCACACCCUACAUUUGUCUGGGCUUCUGGCUUGUUUCUGGGUAGUCAGUUGCUGUGCAUAUCCUACUUUUGGCCCCACUUUUUGAGGCUCAGUCUCACCACCUACCCAGGUUCAGAAGAAGACACGAGCGUUGCCCCAGUUCCCCUCUGCACAGAGCAGAACCACCUCUUGCCUACAUUGAUUCUAGCAUAGCAGAUCUGAAAAAAAAUUAUUUGCAUACCCUCCUUAGUAGAUACUCAAGUGUAUGAUUCACACUACACUGAAUCAGCAGCAGAGCUACAGUUCAUUUUGAAACCAGAGUGUGCCCACAGUUCAUUCCUACUCAUUCACCUCCUAUGCAAAGUCUUUUAAACAGCAGUGAAAAUUACAUAGUCGUGAGAGCUAGGCUGUAUAUUUGUAGUAAAUGAGGAGCAAAACAGAUUGAGUUGCAAAAGUAAAGGGGAGGAAUCUUCUUAAGAAAACAGUUUCCAGUCCACAGAUGUUCAGAUGAAACCUUCUGUUGGAGUUGUUUUUUCCCCUCUUAAUGUUGUUUUCAGGAAGCCAUGUGUGUUUAACUAAGGGUGUGUUCAGGCUUUUGCCUCAGCAUAUGAAUGCUAUAUCUGUGGAUGGGGCAUAGGUCCUGCCCCCAACAUCCCCUUGCUUCUUGUCCCACACCGUCAGUCCUGGACUUUCGCUACACUGAGUGGGGAAGGUCUGCAAAGAGCUUUAUAGUCGGUAGAACACCAUACAUGAUCGGGGAUCUUACUUUACCAGGGUCCCUGAUCACAUGGAUGGUUCUGCUUGCAUUCAGGCAGGAGCUGAGAGGGAAGCAGUACACACAUUGUUGUAGGCAGCAGCUUUGCAUGCAUUCUCCUGUCCACCCUUUGAACAUUCAUGUGAACACCUGAAGACAUCUUUAAGGCUUGAGGCCUAUACCUACUACUCUGGGAGUAAAGGUAAAAAAAAAAAGUACAGAAACGCGGCUGGCGCUGUAUCUAAACCAUUGAGCCUCUUGGGCUUGCCAAUCAGAAGGUCGAUGCUUCAAAUCCCUGCAACAGGAUGAGCUCCCAUUGCUCUGUCCCAGCUCCUGCCAACCUAGCAGUUUGAAAGCAUACCAGUGCAAGUAGAUACAGUACACAGCAAGUACUGCUGUGGCGGGAAAGUAAACGGGAUUUCCUUACUCUCUGUUUUCCAUCCCGGUGUUCCGUUGUGCCAGAAGUGGCUUAGUCAUGCUGGCCACAUGACCCAGAAAGCUGUCUGUGGACGAACCCCAGCUCCCUCAGCCUGAAAAGCGAGAUGAGUGCCAAACCCCAUAGUUGCCUUUGACUAAGCAUAACCAUCUGGGGUCCUUUAUCUUUACCUUACUCUGCGAGUACGCCCAUUGCAUUCACUGGGGUUUACUAUCGUGUAGACAUGUAUUAAAGGAUUGCACUGUAAAACUCAUUUUAAAAGUUAACACACAGUAGUUCUCUGUGGAUGCUGUUGUGCUGUUUCACAGCAAGUGCCAAGCUUGUUCAUGUCUCACUGUGUGAAGGUUAUAUCCAGCACUUCUAAAAAUCACUCCCUGAAAGCACAGUGCUAAUUCUCUCUCCAAGGUUUGCAGGUCUUCAAAUGUUAGCCUCUCAUUAAAUCAUUAAAUUAUCAUUUAUAUUUGUCUAAAUGAAGUAGCGGAGCAUUAAAAAUACAUUCGUUCUGGUAGAGCUAUUUCAAUUUCCCAUAGACUGGCCAAUGGACUUAACUUUAAAUUUGGUGCAUACAACUGUUUUUGCAAAAUGAUGGUGAACACAUAGCAGAUUGUUCAAAAGUGUUUAUAUUGCAAUGCAUUAAUAUAAUAUAUAUUUGGAAAUUUAUAUAAUUUCUUUUUUUUUAAGUGCUCAUCUAGUUGUUUAAUAAACAAAACUGCCUGGCAAACAAAUCAUGUUGCUAAAUAUAGUCAAAAUGAUCUUUGUUUCUCCUUUAAACAGAGCUAGAGAUCUCUCACACCAGCAUAAGUCUUACGCUGUAAGAGUCUCUUCCCAGAAACUUCUUUCUAUGACAUUUCCAUACUGGUUUGGAAGCCAGAACACUAGUGUGUGUGCCCAGUUACACAGUCCUUCCCAUCCAGUCACUGCCCUCUCUUACACAAGAGUCUUACACAAUUGGAACACAGACCCCCCCACCAGACCCCAUGUGAUUCUGAGCUUCCAAAUGUUAAACAAGGUAGGGGAAAGAGCUAUGGAGAUAAGAUUCCUGCACUGCUUCAAUAUUAUAAAAAGGGCCUUAGAUUACCUACAAAUGUGAGUUGUACACAUUGCCUUAUGUCAAUAUCGUUGACCACUGGGCCACACUGGGCAUGUUAUCCUCCAUUAAACAUCACUGUGGUUAUUGGUGUAUUAAUACAGCUGUCUGAAUGGCCCUGUUUUCCCCUAAAUAUUCCCUUAUUCAUGAAACAGCUGCCAUUUCGCCUUAAAGAGUGAAUAACUUCAUAAAUAAUUUUGAACCCUCUGAGGUUAAUACAAAAUUGGGGAAACCCCGCUUUCUGGGGAUCAUAAAAUAGGUAAAAGCACACCUGUUAAAACAGAACCCUGUGCUUUGAACCUCCUUAUACUGCCUAUCACCUGAUUCCACAAAGAGUCCAUUGAUUUAGCUGACAUUAAGAAUGACAGAUCUGGGUUCAUUAAAAAAAAAACACCACCUAGAUACUCUCUGAAGCUAUCCUGUUUCCACACAUAUAAAUACAAGGUCUUACCCAACAGUAGUUCUUAAGCAGUUUUUUUUUUAAAAAAAAUUAAUCUUGCCAGAAUUUCUGUCUCCCAAGUGUGCUGUGGUUUGUAGAUAGUUUUACAGAUUUUUUUAAAAAAUUCUCAUGCAGAUCUGAAAGAUUUGUACAGCAAACCCUUAAUAAACACACAUAAACACACACACACACACACACACACACACACACACACACACACAAUAUCAUAGACAUCUCACAAGAAACAAUGGAAUGUCAGGGAGCGCUGGUAAAUCUCUGAGCCAAGGCCAUAGCAUGCCAGCUUGGCUACCGGUAUUAUUGAUGGCGUUGCAUUGUGAUAUGUAUGCACCAGCAUGGGUGAAGCUUGUUGAAAAUGAUCCAUACUGCAUCUAAAUCACCCUGCUCAAUACUGUGUGUGCUUUUGGCAACACCAGCACUACUUUUAGCAGCACCUUCAUAGUACAAUGUUAGUGCUGCUGUCUGGCCAGCACUGGCUCGUUUCUUUCUAAGAUAGGGAUAGGACUUAGCUGAGUUGUUUGCACCACUUGACAGUGGGAGCCACAAAAUUCAAAAUAUGAAACCCACUUGUAAUCUAAAGGAUCUUCAGCUUUCCACACCUUAUCGUAGCUGCCUUCAGGCAUUCAGGGUGAAUGCAAGAGGGGACCUCACAUGUAAAAGCAACCAAGCCCCACCCCACAGACACCUGUGUGCACAUUGGCUAUGCCCCCCACCAGCCAAAGGUGAAAUUUGUGUCUGACUGUGUGGAUGUAUGAGGGCAAUGUCCCUUACACAGGGCCAUGAACGCUGAUCAGCGUGGGUUUCUUUCCUCAUGGAGUGAGCCCUGAUUACAUCUGCACGUACAUAGGCCCUCCUCAGACUGACUGUGACAGCAUGUCAGCCAGGGGGUGUGACUGGUGUAGGUGUCUAGUUAGUAGGUAAGGAUGUAGACUAAGAGCUAAAGCUCCCACCAAACCCUGAUCCAACUUCAGUUCCUGCUGCUAUUAUUUUUAAAUAAUUAAAUGUAGCAUUAAGUGGGAUAUGCACAGGUGAAAUUGAGUUUUCCCUGUCCUCCCCCCCCCAUGCCCUCCAAACCGGGGUUUUCCCUCAACCCUCCAGAGCAGGCUUAGAGGGCACAAGGAGAGGAGAGGGGGGGAAUCUCAUUGCACAAGUGGCCUUUGUUCCACUUACACAACAACUUAGUUGAAUCCUGCCUAAUGGCUCAUCCAUGAAUUUUCAUUCUUAAUUGCUGCCCUACACACACACAAACACACAAAGACAGUAUUGGGGUUAACUUAUUAAUCUAUCUCACAGAUGUAUUGUAAGAAUAACUGAGAUGUGUAUGUGUGAAUGUUGAAAAGCACUAUGUAAGCCCUGUGCGUGAUUUGCUGUCAAAUACCUAAAGAUCUGAAAUGGUUGUACCUGCUGCAUCAAUGCAGUGUAAAACUUUUAGGAAUUGACUUAAUGCAGUUAUAUAUAUAUAAAAGCCUGCUCUGUUCCUGAUAUUUAAUAAACAUUCAGUCUGUUAGGAAAGUAAGCCUCUUCUUGUGACAGCCAUAGGUUUCUGUUAGCCUUAAAGCAGAAGAAUGCGUGCUUAACAAUUAUACAACUCAGUACUUUCAGAACUGACAAAGUGUGGCAGUUUCUUCUCAUUUAACUAAAAAGCAUGCCGUGCUGUGGAAAGGUCUUCCCAGUGAUAAGCCUCACAGCUUGGUGACUGAAACUGACAAGAGGGAGUGAAAGUAGAAUAUUCAAGCAGUAUUUUUAGUACCUUAUGCUGGGUUUGUAUUAUAUUGGUACGUGACCCCAUGUGCAUCCAGUCAUUGCAUUUCAUUCACCUAAGGGCAAACAGAUGUUCCAAAAGUCUGUUGGCAGCUAAGCCACCCCUCUUGUCUAGCAACAUAACAUUGUAAAUGAUAGCAGGUUGUGCAAUUUAUGGCCUGGCAAAUCUCUGUCUGUAGCCAAGAACAACCAUAUUGUUUAACUUCAACCAUAAGCACCCCUUGGUCCAUGGCAGCUGGUGAUCAUGGACCUGCGAAUGCAGAAGCAACACUGGUUUGUCAAAAUGGGCACAACUUGAAACUGGGAGGCCCACAACAGAAAGAACAAUGCAGAGGCAUCCAACGUCAAAAUACGAAAUAAUUAUAUGGAGAUCUUAUACUAAAAGAGAGUGCAGCAGGGCCGGUCCACCCAUGAGGCAGGCAAGGUGACUGUCUCACGUGGCAGGAUCCACAGGAACAGCAGGUCUACCCUCCAGGGAAUGCACCGUCAUCGUCUGCUGCUGCUGUUGCUGCCACUGCUGCAGAGGAGCAACAACUAGGGUGCACCCUUGGAGGUCAGAUCUCCAGCAUUCUCAGCAGUCCCCCCACCCACCCACCCACCCACCCAUGCCAGCUCUAUAGUAGCCUCUUGGCAAACAGAAGGAGCUGCUGUUCUCCUCCCGCUCUUGUUCCUGAUCAUUAUUGUCCCCUUGUUCCUGUAGUAGAUCUUCACUCAUCCCUGACAUGGGUGCACCAUUUUGUGGUUUGCCUCAGGUGCCAAAAUGUCUUGGGUUGGCCCUGGAAUGCAGCCUACCUGAAGCACACAGUAUAGGGGAAUAUAACAGUGCUCUGUUCAUCUACACCAGCCUUCCCCAGCCUGGUGCCCUCCAGAUGUUUUAGAUAUCAGUCCAUCAGCCCUGGCCCCCAGCACUGUGCUGGUGCACUAGGCUGAAGGGCACCAAGUUGAGGAAGGCUUAUCUGUACAAUUAAUUGAGACACUACAAGAGCACUAUUAUUCUCUGAGAAGCACAUGAUUUUUAUUUUGUGAGUUUGAAGCUGACUUUAUGAAGUUUGAUCACUGGUUCAUCAAGCUAAGAGCUGUUUACUUCAACUGUCAGGCUCUCCAUAGCAACCUUUCCCAGUUUAGUGCCCUCCACAUCUUUUGGACUAUGGAUGAAUCUACACUGGUUGGUUAUAAUGUUAAAAAUGUGUUAUAAAAAUGCGACACCAGAGGGCACUGUAGAGCAGUGAUCUGUCAGCAAUAGAAAACUGCAUUGAGUGCUAUAUUACAUUUUUACAGCUCAGUGUAGAUCCAGCUUAUAAAUCCAUUGCCAAUGCUGGGAGGGGCAUCGAAGGGAGUUUUAGUUUUAAACAUUUGAAGGGCACCGGGUUGAGGAGACCUGCUUUAGAGUAUUAGGCAUUGCUGAUUCUGAGCUUUUGUUUCCCAUCAUCCUUUACCUUGAGACUCAGGGAACAUGGGACCUUUUCCAUGCAAAGACAUGUGUUUUCCAUUUCUGAGCUAUAGCUCUGAGUUUUAGGUCAUCAGGUGUAAUAGUGAUAAUUUUAUAUAGCAUUACUAAGUUUAUUUCAGUUAUAGAAUGUAGGAGGCCCACAAAUUCCUCAAAUCGAAUGCUGUAAAUUUUAAAUUUAACUGGUGUAGAUUUCAAGUUGCACAGUAAAGAUCAUUGGGGGGGGGGGGGAAUUGGAUGUUGAAAGGGCAUGCCUUCACUUUCCUUUGAUAUUAAGUAAAUAUACUCUCCUUGGGGGGAAAAGUGCAUUCUAUAAAUCCAUCUUUCCUACUUUAUAUUACUAAAGUCACCAGUGGAUAAAGUUCAAAGUAAUAGCACUUUCCUCACUACGAGAUGCUGUUUCAAGCAGCAGUAUUCAUCAAUAUUUUAUAGUGCUGACUAAGCCAAGCUAGAAGCAAAUUGCUCGCGCUCUCUUUGCCUGAUGGGUUUCCUUAUCUUAUCUAGUAAUCUUUUUGUUUCUGAUGGAAAUUAAUCAAUCUUCACAAGGCCACAGCUAACUCUUGCUUUUCAAGUCAUGCAAGUGUUACUUCUCUUCUUUUCCUAAAUGUUUGUUUCUGGCACAUUGCAAAACAGUUGUUUUUCCAUUCUUCCUUCUGUGCGGAUAUGUGAGACUAAGAGCCAAAAUGGAUGUAAUGCCGGAUUUGUUAAUAGGAUGUUCCAUAUUGUUGUUAUUGCUGCUACAGUGUGUGAUACUUACAUCAGGACUGAAGUGCUGGCGGAAGUUGAUUUUAACCUCUUUGCCUGUGCUGUAUUUCUGAUUAAAUUCUCAUGCCACCCAAAAGAACUUCUAUUUGUCAUGUGGGCAAAAAUAUCCAAGUAUUAUGUGGGUAUUUGCCUUAUCAAAAGAUUAGCUGGUAACUAACCUUUUCUUACUAACUGAUUUCCACCAGAACAUAAGAUAAGCUUUGCUGGAGCAGACCAAGAGUCUUCUAGUCUGGGAUCUUUUUCAGCCCCAUAGUAACCAGCCAGAUGUUUCCUCAAAAGCCAGUGGGGUGUUGUUGUUUUUAACAAUAUGCUUUUUAAAGGAAUAAUUCUUGCUAUCAUCAUCAUCAUCAUCAAUUUUGUACCACUUAUACAAAAAAAAAUAUUACAGUCCACGUUUCCCCUCCAAAAAUGAGUCACUCAAAGAGGCUUACAAAACACUUUAACAGCAAUAACAUUCCUUCCUUGACUUCACUCAUUUACCAUUCUGGCAUCUUCUUGAACUUGGUGUGUAACUUUCCUGAUCUGUGGUACACGAUUUAUCUGAACUUCUUUUAAAAUGAUUUUAAGUAACUUCCAAAUGUCCUAAAGGAGCUUGGCCCUUAUAACUUUCCUGCUUAACUAAUCUCUUCAUUUUUGAGGUUCUCUCUUCUUCUCCUUUUAAAUAAUUUGUGAGCGUGUCAGACUUUCUUCUUACUUACGUGUUGAAUUUCACUGCAGUCUGGUCACUGUUCCUGACCCAUUCAACAAUGCUUACAUCCCACAUCAGGUCCUCAGGAUUAACUCAGAGGUUGCCUCUGCAAAAUCACAGAUGGAGAGAAACAAACAUGAUCAUUAGGUCUAAUUAGGAUCAAAUAUUUAGUAAGCUCUUGUAGCUGAACCGCAUGUACUCACGGAGGCUGAGAAAUUGUUUGGGGGUAAUGUGCUGUAGAAGUAACAACUGAAGUAUGCAUGGUUGAAUAAACCUCUUCAGAGAUUUUUCACCCCUUGCGGAAUGUCUUUUAGCUAACUAGAAUUUUUUUCAUACUCAAUAUAUUACUUUCCCACCAUUUUGAGUAUCUACAUCAAAAUGCAUUUGCAAUAUAAAUACAUGCAGAAGGAAGUGUAAAUUCUGCUGUCGUUUAUAAGUUUAGGUAGCCACCUGAAAUGUCAGAAAACAGGAAUAUUAAAUAAUUGCUACUUAUAUCUUUAAAAUGUUUGUUUUCAUCAAGCUGCAUAAAAGUGGUAAAGAAUUUAAAAUAAUUACUCACACAUGCAAAAAUUAGUAUCUCCCUGCUUAUAUGUAAUUUAUGCGACACGGGACAGGAGCUGGGCUGAUAUACAAAACAGCCAAGUGCUAAACUAAUUUGGGCUCAUCUGGACUUGCAAAAAUCACUGGGACUUCAAAUUAGUUUUGUGAAAGCAUGGUCUUGGGUCCAACAAAUGUACUUGAAAUUAAUGUCUCUUUGGGACAAUGCAUAACUUUUUGUUGUUGUUGUUGUUAAAGUGCAGUACCUUCACUGUCCCUCUUCCCAUAUGUAAAGUGAACUUCAACAAAAGCAGUUUAUUUUGUUUAAAGAGUUGAUGCAGUUAAUGAUGUACCAAAACUACAAAUAAUUCAUUUGAGUGAGACUCAAACAGUAAUAGUUUCUACAUAUUAGUCCUUCAAACACUGCAUUGUUAUAAGGUCAUAAUUGAUUGAUGGGACGCGGGUGGCGCUGUGGUCUAAACCACUGAGCCUCUUGGGCUUGCUGAUCGGAAGGUCGGUGGUUCGAAUCGUUGUAAUGGAGUGAGCUCCGGUUGCUCUGUCCCAGCUCCUGCCAACCUAGCAGUGCAAGUAGAUAGCACACCAGUGCAAGUAGAUAAAUAGGUACUGCUGUGGCAGGAAGGUAAACAGCAUUUCCAUGCGCUCUGGUUUCCGUCACGGUGUUCCGUUGCUCCAGAAGCGAUUUAGUCAUGCUGGUCACAUGACCAAGAAAGCUGUCUGUGGACAAACGCCGGCUCCCUUGGCCUGAAAGCGAGAUGAGCGCCGCAACCCCAUUGUCACCUUUGACUGGACAUAACCAUCCAGGGGUCCUUUACCUUUACCUUCUUACCUAUACAGUAAUUGAUUGCUUUGUGGGCUAUUAGUCUGGUCUGUAUGUCAUAGCAGACCAUCGUGUUUUCUUAUUAUAUGUCUGUCACAUAGGGGCUGGGGUGUUAAGAGAGAGGGGGUGGAAUUUUGUGUUCCUUCUCUCGCCAGCAUAACCCAUGUUUAAUGUUGUCUCAGCAGUUAUGCCAGCCAAAGCUAAAUAUCUAACCCAGGGAUUGGUAGUGAGGGUCCUCCGGGUAUUUUGGACUAGAUUUCUCAGCAGCCCUAGGCACCAUGGUAAAUGUUGUUGUUGUUGUUUAGUUGUUUAGUCGUGUCCAGCUCUUCGUGACUCCAUGGACCAGAGCACGCCAGGCACUCCUGUCUUCCACUGCCUCCCGCAGUUUGGUCAGACUCAUGUUGGUAGCUUUGAGAACACUGUCUAUUUACCAUGAACACUGUCUAUUUACCAUGGUAAAUAGUUAGGUGCAAUGAGAUUUUUAGUCCAAAAGUCUGGAGGGAACCAUCAUAUUGGCUAUCCCUUGUUAAGAGUUCCAUGGCUGUGUCUGCAUUAGCACUGGGAGAACUGUGAGAGACUUCUACAUCACUCAGAUUAAGUUCUACUGAACAGCUGGAAAAGGUAAAGCUUUGCAAGGCACAAGGAGGCUUUGCUACUCCUGUCCAACAAUUCGAUGUUUGUUGAGACACUAUCAUGAGAUAGCUGCAUAUCCCUGUAUUGCAGGGAUGAUCCUCGGAGUCCCUUCCACCUCUACAAUUCUGUGAUUCUGAUUCAUUGUCAGCCACAUAAUAUGAGAAUAUGGUGAUUAACAGACAACAAGCAAAGAAACACAGUGUUCUGCAGUACAGCAAAGUUUAGCAAUCCGUGUUCUAGUUUUCCCUGAACUCAGCUGACACUGUUCAUACCUUCAAAGAAACUGUGAAAGGAAGAAUGGCUUCUGGUGUCUCACAAGAAGUAGAAUUCAUGGGUUUCCUUCAGGACUACUAGAAGCCACUGAUGUUCUCUACAGGGGAAUGCCAUGAGUCCAACUUGACACAAGUAGUAGGGGAGGGAGAAGAAUAUUAAAUUUAUCAAGUUUCUUCUUUUACUUCUUUGGAAGUAUGAACCAGUUCUUAGACUCUGAUAUUGGUUCUUCUAGGCUUUGUUGUGUGGUGUUCUGACUCGCUUAUGUAUAUUCAAUAUAAGCAGCUGGCAGCUGGAACUGAAUGUUAAAUAUAUAAUCAGCAGUCCAGACAAGGCAGAAUACUAAAAGGGACAAAAAUAAAAUAAAAAAGGAAGCCAAAUCUAUUUGACACUCUUCCAGAUAUAAUAAAGAAUAUUGGCCCAGGCUGCCACUGUAAGCCUCUCAGCUACUGGGUUUUUAAGAUCAAUGUCACUGAGCAAGCAAACCGCUCAGGGUGAAAGGGGUAAAGAGAGAGAGAGAGAGAGAGCAAAGUUUGAGAAUCAUGGAUCUACAUCUUGCCCAAAUUGCAUCUAAAAUUGGGCUCAAAGGGAGUCGACUCCAUGACAAGAUCAAAUCCCCAAACCACAAAAGAAAUUAUCUUUGCAACCUAAUGAUGAUAAAAUUUAGCAGCCAAGCCAGUGGCAUCCACUUGAGAUGCUUGAAUGUACAUUAUAUGGGGUGGAAGUAGGUCAGCAAUUUUCUCUAACUAUCCUUUAAACUAAAACAGGGGGGAAAGAAGUCUGGAGGUAAUUCAUACAGCUUGGAGAACCAUGACCCACACUCAGUGCUGUUUUGGAUGAUGAGUGGGGGUAAAGGCGCUUUAAAUAAAUAAGUACAUGGCAGAAACUCAUCCACAGAAACAGAACAGGGGGACCACACAGGCAGAGGUGGAGCAAGCCGAUUGGGUACCUGGGGCGGCGUGCAUGCCCUGCGCCCAGGGGUGGGGCUAGCUGGGGCAGGACGCUCCACGGGACUUCUGAGGAGUCUGCCUGCCUCCUCCCACUCAGCUUCCCUACAGCUGAGGGGGAGGCAGCGUGCGGACCAUUUGGGGCAGCAUGGAGCCUGCGGGUGUCCAACCCACCUUGUCACUCCCAGAAGAGACGCGUGGCUUGGGCACACUGCAGGAUGCGCGGUGAGUGUCACCCGGCAUUUUGUCACACACACCCCAGUGGUGACACCCAGGGUGGCCCACCCCCACCCCCACCCUUCCUCCACCCCUGCCCAUAAUGUGCACUGUAGUGCUGAGUGCUUCUGUUCCAAUCAGUCAGCUAUAAAAUUCAGCCGGUAGAACACGAGACUCUUAAUCUCAGGGUCAUGGGUUUGAGCCCCAUGUUGGGCAAAAAGAUUCCUGCAUUGCAGAGGGUUUGACUAAAUGACCCUUGUGGUCCCUUCCAAUUCUGCAGUUCUAUGAUUCUCCACAGUAAUCGUCUAGUCCAUCUAGCCUGGUCUCUCCCCAAACCCAAACUAAAAGAAUCAAGCAGCAUUUCAUGGGACCACUAAGUAUGCUCUGUCCUCCUUGCAAAGUUUUGAGGGUUCUCUUCUCCUCCCUUAGUGUUUUCUUCCUCUUAACCUGAAGUCACAAAGAUAUCUCCCUCUUGUGCAUUGGUGGUGAAGGCAGAAUUUAGUUUACUUGCAAUGUGCAAACCAAAACACAGCUGUCCUUUAAAAUCCACACUUAUCUGAACUUUGUGAAGAAGUUUUCUGGCCAAAAGAUGUGUGUGUUAGGGGAAGUGUGUGUGAAAAUGUACAUAUUGGUGAAAGUAAUACACAAAAAUGAAUUAUAAUAAGGCAGGGGUUGGGGACUUUCAGCUCUUCAGUUGUUGCUGACACUACAACCCAGCCUGUGUGGCCAAUAGUGAAGGCAAAUGGGAGUUGUAGUUCAGCGACAUCUGGGGGAGGGAGAGAGGUUCUCCACUCCUAUAUUAGGUGGAAUUGCUUGCAAAAAAUGAGUAUAUUAGGGGGAGUUGCAAAAAAAAUGUAUGUUAGGAGAGAUGCACGCUUAGAUACUGAUUAACAUUUCUGAAGACUCGUGUGGCAAACUGAGGAUGGGGGAAAUGGGACCUUGUGCAUAGGUGAUGCCAUUUUGACUACAUAAGUAACAACACUCAUGCCUGAACAUUGGAAAAGGGGGAAAUACUGUGAGAAUUGAACACAUACUGUUGGAUGUGGAUUGAGAGAAUGUUAAUGGACUGGGUCUUUUGUUCAAUGCUGCUCAACAUUGCACCGCUAAUUGUCAUUAAAGAGGCAGUGAGGAGUAACAUAAAUCAUUUAUCAUUGAUGUGAUGAGGUGGAACAAGAUGAAGGGGGCAGUAUGAAGAACAUAGAGCAGAUGCCUAUCUUGUAUUAAACUAAUAGCUAGCAUUGCAGUUAAUUAAUGCUAAUGCAAGCAAAGCCAAUGUUCGCUAGUGCCUCUCAGAUGGGUGUGUGUGUGUGUGGAAAGAGCAUCCAGUCCUUAUAAAACAAACUGAUGAUGUUCAGAAACAGAAUUCAGAAUAGGAAAAUAUGGAUAACAGGAAAAUAUGGAUAGGAGCAUACUUGAAUCUCAGUGAUUUGUGUCACUGGACAGCAGGCGUAGCCUCCACCAACCAGUUUCUAUCUUAUUUCCAGAGAUGGAUGAAUCACUCUGUUCACAUCAUUUCUACAUGUGUUCAUCCUUAAGCCCAUUCCACUCUGCUUCUGCACUACUUUGCAAAAGAAUGUUAUUGAUUGAUGCAGUCACUGCUGAUGCAGUCACAUGGUAGCAGUGAGCCUGGACUAGGAUUCAAUGACUUAGCAUUUCACCACCCCCAAACUCCUCAUCUUGGAGCUUUCCACCGAUGGUUCUCUGUAGAUAUCUGGCCAGAAGCACUUUCAGUUGCCCGCAUGUUCAGCGGGUAGAAUAGGGCAGAGCUCUGUACUGACAGAAAAUGAUUCUAAUGUCACUCAGUUACAGGGACUAGCAGGUCUCGGAGGAGAAACACCUCUGCCAAAUUGAUAGUACCCCCUCCCCUGCCCAAUGCAAAGGGGGGGUUGUUAGUUCUGAUCCAAUCAGAAUUUGCAAAUAUCUCAUUUCUUAAGGAAUCCCUAUUUAUUUGCCAUUUUCAGCACAUUGAAAGCUAAUCUAGGAGCUGUUUUCAUCUUGUAAAAGUUUCAGUGAUCCAAAAUGUUACCCAAGGCAACAAUGCAAUGAGCUGCUUGGAAGCCAGUAAGAAAGAGUGGGUGGACCAAGGCCAGAGAGAAGAUUGCAGUAGUCAAGGCAAGAGGUGAUGAAGAAAUUCUUAUUUUUAUUUUUUUUGCCAAGGGGACUGGCAGAGAGGCUGGAAAGUUGUAAAAAGAGAAGUGACCUGAUUUGGUGACAUACUGAGUCUGGGUGGCAAGGGAAUGAGAGAGUGAAAUCAAGGGAAAAGCCACGCUUCUAUACUUGUACAGUCGUACAUUGCGAGUUGAACCUUUUGGCUCCCGGACGCCGCAAACCUGAAAGUGAGUUGUGAGGGACAGGGGAUACCGAGAGGUCCCUCCCAUCUUAAGGUCCAGCCCAUCCCCAAACGCUGGGGAGAGCAGGGAGAGCUCUGCCUCCAGCAGAGAAUCAGGAAGUGGUGUCCGAGGCUCAGGCAAGGUUGCGGAGCCACUGACCCAGGUGGGACAGGAAGGGGGGAGCCCGGGGGGAAGGCCAAUCCCCCCGACUCCGGAAUUGCGCAAAAAACGUCGGGGGAAGAGGCUGGGUCUCCCCAAGCUUCUUUGCUGGAAGAAAACGCGCCAACCUCCAUUCGGAGGUACUGACACCUGACCGAAAGCAUGUAUAUAGAUCGCUCUGAGCACUGUAAAUAAUCAGCACUUAAUAAAAGUCUAAAAGGACUAUGCUGCGAGGAGUCGUUACUCUAGAGUAGCCGCAUCAGCGUCUCUGACAUGAGUGUUCCGGUUUGUGAACGUUCUUUGGAACCCGAAUGUCCAACGCAGCUUCCGAUUGUCAGAAGCUGCGCCUUGGUUUCCAAAUGUUUUGGAAGUCAAACAGACUUCCAGAAUGGAUUCCAUUCGACUUCUGAGGUACGACUGUAUUGCAAUAUAUAUAAGGAUACAGAAAGAUUUAAUGCAGCGAAACUGUUCAAACUCCCUUGUUAUUUUUGUUGCUGCCAGGAGGUACAAAGUUGCUAAACUUACAUGAAAAUGUUGCCUUUAGUAUACCGUUACAUUAACUAUAUGCUGCUGUUUUAUUACUGCUCUUACUAUGAAAUUAUUCCUGCGCUUGUAAGUUGCUUUGAGCACAUUUUUGUGUGGAAAGGCAGCGUGCAAAUAAAGAAAUGAUAGAUUUUAAAGGUCUUUAUGUGUGUCAGAGUGGGAUCCAUAGAGAUGAAGAGAGAAUAAAAUAUUAUCUGUAUCGGGCAUGGAUAUUCUUAUUCCUAUGCAUUUAAUGCUAUGUUUGUUGAGGAAGCUGGAGGCAUGACAGGCAGAUCCAGGUUUUGAAUGCACCAAGUUUUCCAAGUGUUUGAAUAGGCCACAAUAUAUAAUCUCAUACAGCUUUCCAAAGAAUCAUUGGCAUCAUAUGGUAGUAAGUGUUACUUUAUAGUACCUGCCCACUAACAGCUGUAGAAAAUUCUCAGCCAUGUAUUUCCUUAAUAUGUAUUCUGCAGGCUUCUUUCUCCUUCAUACCUAUAUCUAACAAGAGUAAUGUUCCUCUUUGGGCAACUAAAGGUGAUGGAUCUAAUAAAUAUUAACACUUGCCUAGCUAUAAAAACAGAUGUUAGAAUCAAUCGGUACUUUAUGUUACCCUUCUGUUAAAAGAUUAUAUCACAAGAAAUGUGGUUAGUUUGGGUGGGUGGGGGGAACCAAGAUUUUUGUAUGAUGCUCAGCCUCAGCUGGCUGUAAACAAUAUUUGCGACCGAUCGGUUUGCGACCGCCACAGACCUGAAAGUGUUUACAUCCGGGUUCCGCAGUGCGCAGAUGCGAUCUGCGCAGCGGCACAUGCACAGAAGCGCUCUAUUGGCACUUCGCGCACGCGCAGAAGAGCCCCUCGGUUUACGGCAAACUCAGGGAGUGACCGGCUCCCCGGAACGAAUUGCGGUUGCAAACCGAGGUAUGACUGUAUAAUCUUCUGUCAUAUCAUCCCUCUAACCAUCUUCUUUCUUAACACCACCCCCCCCCAAAAAAAACCCAGAUAUUUUUGCCUUUCCCCUCAGGGAAGGUGCUCCAUCACCAAGAGUUGUUUUGAAUAGGAAUUGAAAAAUCUCUCAAUUUUUCAAGUUUUCUCAGUUUAUCACCUCCCCCCCCCCCUCAAUUUUAAGUUCAGUUCUCUACAAUUGCAUAUCAGUUUGUGGUUUGCUUAUUUGUUUGCUUUGAAAAUGAAUAUCCACCAGUACUUUAGGGUGAAUUUCUCCUAAUGUACACAUUUUUAUGUGCAAUUACAUAUAAGGAUGUAUAAGGAGAAAUGCGCAGUUUGUUGUAGGAAGAUGGAGAACUAUAUUUAAACCUGGAAAAAUGAGGAACUGAUACAAACCAAAAUAGACACAUUUGCCUGUCCCUAUGGCAUGCUCCCUGCAAUGGCAGGAGGGGCGAAAACUAGCCUUGGCAGGAACGCACCAGAGAUUUUGAGACAUUACAGUAAUGUUUUAUCAGUUGCAAAUACUGUUGACUCUUAGGGCCAAUGUCACAUUUCUAAUAGUUUCACCCUCUUCCUAACCAGGCUGGUAUGAUGAAGGGCUUCAUUAGGCUUACUAGUUGGAGGGAGUUAAUCCUUCCAAAUGGUUUUUGGAAAACUUUCCAGGGAGAAAGGUUUCCCUCUUUUUCCAUAUCAGUAGCCUGGAGAAAAUUGGGAUACUCACGCCCCCACCCCUACCUCUUACGCCAGCUUUUUAGGUAAGAAUGAAAACACUGGGAGAUUGAUCCUAGAUCUCUUCGGUUUUGUCCCUAAAUUAAAAGUUUUGUUUUCCAUUUCAAGGGCUAACUUGUGCCCC